rnacentral:rRNA from 1 species
UACGUAGGGGGCGAGCGUUGUCCGGAAUUAUUGGGCGUAAAGGGCUCGUAGGCGGUUUGUCACGUCGGGAGUGAAAACUCAGGGCUUAACCCUGAGCCUGCUUCCGAUACAGGCAGACUAGAGGUAUGCAGGGGAGAACGGAAUUCCUGGUGUAGCGGUGAAAUGCGCAGAUAUCAGGAGGAACACCGGUGGCGAAGGCGGUUCUCUGGGCAUUACCUGACGCUGAGGAGCGAAAGUGUGGGGAGCGAACAGG